AAAAUAUUAAAUUCAUGAUAUAAAAUUUUAAUUUAUUUUUUUGGGUGAAAUAUUAAUUCUUAUUUUUAAGUUGGAUUUUGGGUAUGGUGUGUGAUCUCUUUGCUUUGACUUUCCAUAAUUAAAAAUAAGAAGAAAAUCCAAUAAAAUGAAAAUAAAUAAAUAAAUUGGAUUGAGUUUCCUAGAUAUAAACUCUUGUUUUAAACGUUUAAUUUAACUCUUAGCUCUCAUUAUGGACAUACUCUUAAAAAAAGAUAAGAGUUUAUUUUCUAAAAGAAAAUUAAAACUAUACUUUUUGUCAAUUUUUAAAAAAAUCUAAAUUACUGAUUGAGUCUUAACUCAACUGAUAUAACUUCGCCCUAGGGUUCGUCUGGAGGUGCAGUCGUCCAAGACUCAAGACUAGAGUCCAAAAUUGUAACACCCCUUACCCAAGACCGUUUCCGGAGUCGAGUACGAGGCAUUACUUAGCUUAUCUUACUAAUUCGAAGCAUAAAAACUUGUUUUGAAAAUUAAUUUCACUAUUUACAGCAAUCUGUCUAAUCGCGCAGCAUUUACUAAAUUAAUUAUAAAUCAAGUUAGGGGACUCGAAAUUUAAUUCCGAAAAUUUUUCCUGAAACUAGACUCAUAUAUCUUCCUACUAUAAAAUUUUCAGAAUUUUUGGUUCAGCCAAUUAGUACAGUUUAUUAGUUAAAGUCUCCCCUAUUUCACCACUUGACUGUCCUGACCUCUUGCCACUAAAAAUAAAUUUUCUCACUAUAGGAUUUUCAUAUGAAGUUAUUACUCGUUUCUACAGAAAAUAUACUCAAUAAGGAAUCUAUAGAUAUAAACUACAACUCAUAACCAUUUUUGUGCAAUUUAUAAUGAUUUUCUAAACUUAGAACAGAGGACUCCAAAAACAGUUCUGACCCUGUCUCACUAAAGUUCUCAUAUCUCAAAAUAUAAAAUUUCUUUUGUUAAACCGUUAUUUUUCCAUGAAAAUAGACUCAACAAGCUUUAAUUCCAUAUAUCAUUCACCCUCUAAUUAAUUUUAUACUAUCCUAGGUGAUUUUUCAAAUUCACAUCACUGUAGCUGCUUGAAAUCUGUUUCUUUACAAAUUUUUACUCUUUCAUGAUUUCCAUGCAUGAUUUAUCAUCUAAACAUACAUAUUACCAAACAUAUCCAUACUUAACCAUUUUAAAAGCCAAACAUUAUCACAUACUCACACAUCUUCCUUUAGCAAUAUCAUAGAUACAAACAUUCAAAUUGACUAAUCCCUAUACGUCACUUAGGUAUAAACAUUACUUAGGUACAUGCCACGUUAUCAAAAAAAAAAUACAUCGCUAAAUUUCUCUGAGGUCGGGAUUACUCUGGAUGCUGGACCGAACACUGGUUUUCUACUAACCUGCGCACGGAAACAACCGUACGCUGAGUAUGGGAAUACUCAGUGGUAUUACCAUAAUUCAAAUUAAUAACUUUAAUCGAUAAUUUAUAUACAUUUAAUUUAUGUCUACAAUUAUUCGUUAAUUGCCUCAUACUUUAA
rnacentral:lncRNA from 1 species